rnacentral:rRNA from 1 species
GGUUACUACCUAGUAACGGAGAGUGGAGCGGCCACAGCUCAAAUUUGAAAUCUGGCUCUUUUAGAGUCCGAGUUGUAAUUUGCAGAGGGCGCUUUGGCUUUGGCAGCGGUCCAAGUUCCUUGGAACAGGACGUCACAGAGGGUGAGAAUCCCGUACGUGGUCGCUGGCUAUUGCCGUGUAAAGCCCCUUCGACGAGUCGAGUUGUUUGGGAAUGCAGCUCUAAAUGGGAGGUACAUUUCUUCUAAAGCUAAAUAUUGGCCAGAGACCGAUAGCGCACAAGUAGAGUGAUCGAAAGAUGAAAAGCACUUUGGAAAGAGAGUCAAACAGCACGUGAAAUUGUUGAAAGGGAAGCGCUUGCAGCCAGACUUGCUUACAGUUGCUCAUCCGGGUUUCUACCCGGUGCACUCUUCUGUAGGCAGGCCAGCAUCAGUUUGGGCGGUAGGAUAAAGGUCUCUGUCACGUACCUCCUUUCGGGGAGGCUUAUAGGGGAGACGACAUACUACCAGCCUGGACUGAGGUCCGCGCAUCUGCUAGGAUGCUGGCGUAAUGGCUGUAAGCGGCCCGUCUUGAAACACGGACCAAGGAGUCUAACAUCUAUGCGAGUGUUUGGGUGUCAAGCCCGAGCGCGUAAUGAAAGUGAACGGAGGUGGGAACCCGCAAGGUGCACCAUCGACCGAUCCUGAUGUCUUCGGAAGGAUUUGAGUAAGAGCAUGGCUGGUGGGACCCGAAAGAUGGUGAACUAUUCUUGAAUAGGGUGAACCAGAAGAAACUCUGGUGGAGCUCCCACGGUUCUGACGGCAAAUCGAUCGUCAAUUUGGCAUUGGGGCGAAAAAUAAUCGAACUUUCUA